GAUGAAGAACGCAGCGAAAUGCGAUAAGUAAUGUGAAUUGCAGAAUUCAGUGAAUCAUCGAAUCUUUGAACGCAUCUUGCGCUCCUUGGCAUUCUGAGGAGCAUGCCUGUUUGAGUGUCAUUAAAUUCUCAACUACACUGACUUUGAAUUGGUGUGGCUUGGAUUUGGGGGGAAAAUUGUUGUGGGCUUUUUGUAUAGUCUGCUCCCCUGAAAUUGAUUAGCGGUACCUUUGUGGAACUGUCUACAGGUGUGAUAAUUAUCUACAUCUUAGACAUCUGCUGGAAUGCUGCUUUCUAAACCUUACUUGUAUUGACAAUCUUGACCUCAAAUCAGGUAGGACUACCCGCUGAACUUAAGCAUAUCAAUAAGCGGAGGA
rnacentral:misc_RNA from 1 species